rnacentral:rRNA from 1 species
UACGAAGGGGGCUAGCGUUGCUCGGAAUCACUGGGCGUAAAGCGCACGUAGGCGGCUUCUUAAGUCAGGGGUGAAAUCCCGGAGCUCAACUCCAGAACUGCCUUUGAUACUGGGAGGCUCGAGUCCGGGAGAGGUGAGUGGAACUGCGAGUGUAGAGGUGAAAUUCGUAGAUAUUCGCAAGAACACCAGUGGCGAAGGCGGCUCACUGGCCCGGUACUGACGCUGAGGUGCGAAAGCGUGGGGAGCAAACAGG